rnacentral:lncRNA from 1 species
GGUCUGUCCAUGUCGAACCUGUGUAGUGUAGUGCAGUGUAGUCGUGUUCUUUCUGUCGCACACCAUUUCCGCGACGGGGGGAGGAGUGCAGGGCUGUCAUCAUUGAUCGUGUCCGUACGGCUUGCUACUCGUUCAAGGUCCAUAGCCUCAGGGGUGGUGAGGCCUCUUCGUCCAUUCACGGGUCGUAUCGGGGCCGCUUGCCCCCGGUCAAUGGUGAGAUCUUGCUCGUGGGCUCUACGUGCAGGGGCCGUCGUCAAUCUACCAAUCUACUAAAGUGUCAAAGGCCUUACAGAGAACUCCACAGGAUCGUCCACACCUCCAACGUACUAC